rnacentral:tRNA from 1 species
GCCGGCGUAGCUCAGUUGGCAGAGCAUCAGGCUUUCGGAGUCUGAAGGUCGUUGGUUCGAACCCAACCGUCGGUACGA